rnacentral:antisense_RNA from 1 species
AGUGCUGACGGGCGGUGCGUGGGAAGCCGAAAGGCUUGCCGUGAUCCUAGACCACGGAUUUGCAGCCCACGUACCGUUCCGUCGCCCAU